rnacentral:rRNA from 1 species
UACGUAGGGGGCAAGCGUUGUCCGGAUUUAUUGGGCGUAAAGAGCGUGUAGGCGGUUAUGCAGGUCGGCUGUGAAAACUGGAGGCUUAACCUCCAGACGUCGGUGGAAACCGUAUGACUAGAGUCCGGAAGAGGAGAGUGGAAUUCCUGGUGUAGCGGUGAAAUGCGCAGAUAUCAGGAAGAACACCCGUGGCGAAGGCGGCUCUCUGGGACGGUACUGACGCUGAGACGCGAAAGCGUGGGGAGCGAACAGG